ACUCCUGCGGGAGGCAGCAGUGGGGAAUAUUGGACAAUGGGCGCAAGCCUGAUCCAGCCAUGCCGCGUGAGUGAUGAAGGCCCUAGGGUUGUAAAGCUCUUUCACCGGUGAAGAUAAUGACGGUAACCGGAGAAGAAGCCCCGGCUAACUUCGUGCCAGCAGCCGCGGUAAUACGAAGGGGGCUAGCGUUGUUCGGAUUUACUGGGCGUAAAGCGCACGUAGGCGGACUAUUAAGUCAGGGGUGAAAUCCCGGGGCUCAACCCCGGAACUGCCUUUGAUACUGGUAGUCUUGAGUUCGAGAGAGGUGAGUGGAAUUCCGAGUGUAGAGGUGAAAUUCGUAGAUAUUCGGAGGAACACCAGUGGCGAAGGCGGCUCACUGGCUCGAUACUGACGCUGAGGUGCGAAAGCGUGGGGAGCAAACAGGAUUAGAAACCCGGGUAGUCCCAU
rnacentral:rRNA from 1 species